UUCCCAGGUCGCAGUGCGAGAUAAGCGUCGUCAAGUUGGCGACUUAAUCGGGGAGUCUGGACGUCUUUUUCGCGAGAACGUCUCGACGUUGACCAUACAACAGAGUGAGUAUCAGCAAGAUACUGAGUGUAUCACGUCGAGCAAAGGAACAUGUCAGAGAGAGUUCAUGAUGGCAUCACGUGUGCACACCUCAGCUCACAUUAACCGGCGCAUUGCUCCAGCCUUAUAAAGUAGCCGAGCUACGAUUUAAUCCGAAAUUUAUUUUCUCCAUUAGUAAGGGCUUGUCUUGAGUCCCGGAGCGUGAGUGAGAGGCUGACGUCCAGGGGACGUUCCUCCACCUCCUCCUCUUACUCUUCAUCUGCAACUCAGACUCACACAUAUUGUAUAAAAGAGGAUUGCCGGAAUGCUGCUGCAUCCUCAAGCGUGAGCAGUGUCCUCUUUUAUUUGCCUUGUUUUCUCUAUUUCUCAAGUUAACUUGGAGUAAGUAUAGUAGAUAGAUAUAGAAGACCCAACAAAACGCUUACACACAACUACAUUACGAAUCCUAUAUCGGCAUCUUUAUUAUAUCUACUCGUGCCCGCGUUUGACAACACACGCGGUUCCCCCACUCCUUUACUCAUUGGAGCAUGUAUUCUUUCUUGAACAUUUAUUAUUGUAAUAUUAGUACACACUAAAAAUACAUACACACGUGUAUAAUGAUACUGUAUGCAGUCAAUUUACCCAACAUCACCCCACACUUCACCCAACGCCCGCUUUUAUCUUUCCUCUCGGGUUUUCUCCCGUUUUUCUUUAUAUUUCUCGGUAAAUAUGGAUAAUACGUGGAUAUUUACGCAUAUAAAUGCAUCUAAUAUUUCUUUACAUGUGCAUAACCAUAAUAGCAACGAGAAACUUUGUAAUAAAGAAUCAAGAUCUUUAAUGUUUCAAGAUUGUUAGUAAAUUAAUGUAACAGGUAGUAAUAAUUGCACUGAUAAAAAUUAAUUCGAUUCAAGAGAAAAAAUUUUAAA